rnacentral:lncRNA from 1 species
UCACAUGUUACUGAUCAUAUUUUUUACAGAUCAUGAUCAUAAUUAGAAUAUCGAUAACAGAACUCCUAGAGUCUUAAGCCAAAAUAGAACUUUCAACUUUUUAACGGAACUCUAAUAAUAGAACUCUGUUAUCCUACCUGUAGACAAUAUUUCGAAGAACAAAAUCAUCAACAUAUCAUAAACUGAACUCUUGUAUCGACUGUAGCCCCUGUUUCACCAAUCGUAAGAGUAAUUUUUUUUUAUAUCUCACACUCAUGUGAGAAAUUAAAAAUUGGAAAUUUCAGACAAAUUUUACAGAGUACACAAAGAAUAAAAAUUCAUAAUAAAAUGCAUAAAUUUAAAAAUUCAAAUUAAAUCAAAUAAGCCACUAACUUUCGUAUCUUGCUCUGUC